rnacentral:lncRNA from 9 species
CGUGAUUAGUGCUGGACUAUAAAGGAGCUAGUGCUGACACAUCAUAGAUUGUGACCAGGAUGAAGGCCUUGUCCCACUCCUGAGAUAGCACUUGCUGUGAUUUUUUUUUUCAUCCGAUAACAUUAAAUGACACAAUUAUUGUCUCUACUUUGGCUGUAAUGAUCAGAGAACUGAGUAGAUACCUAAAGACUGAAAAAAGGACCAAAAUAACCAGACUCUUGAGGGUGUUUGCAAUUAUAUGAUCAUGAAUAACCAAUAUGACUUCACAAUGAACUUUUCCUGUCCUGGUAAUAUACAGUCAUCUUCUUACAUAGCAGAGUGGCAGGCCUGGCAGGUCACAGAAAAUAAAUUGAUGAAACCUAGCUUGACUUUUAAGAGGGCUUUUGAUCCUGUCCUAUUAGACAUACUGAGAAAAUAUGACCAGGAGCAGAUGGACAAACAGAUGGGCACUACGGCUAUGUGAAAUGUUUGAGGAAGAAUGGGGGAUGCUGUGAGACUGAUCUUGGUAGGACUGAAGAGCAACCACCAUGCAAAGAACUGGAGGAAGACAAAGCUGUGACGCGGGAAGCUCUUUUCAACUCUUUGAAGCAAGGCUG